AUUGAACGCUGGUGGCAGGCCUAACACAUGCAAGUCGAACGGUAACAGGAAGCAGCUUGCUGCUUCGCUGACGAGUGGCGGACGGGUGAGUAAUGUCUGGGAAGCUGCCUGAUGGAGGGGGAUAACUACUGGAAACGGUAGCUAAUACCGCAUAAUGUCGCAAGACCAAAGAGGGGGACCUUCGGGCCUCUUGCCAUCGGAUGUGCCCAGAUGGGAUUAGCUUGUUGGUGGGGUAACGGCUCACCAAGGCGACGAUCCCUAGCUGGUCUGAGAGGAUGACCAGCCACACUGGAACUGAGACACGGUCCAGACUCCUACGGGAGGCAGCAGUGGGGAAUAUUGCACAAUGGGCGCAAGCCUGAUGCAGCCAUGCCGCGUGUAUGAAGAAGGCCUUCGGGUUGUAAAGUACUUUCAGCGGGGAGGAAGGGAGUAAAGUUAAUACCUUUGCUCAUUGACGUUACCCGCAGAAGAAGCGCCGGCUAACUCCGUGCCAGCAGCCGCGGUAAUACGGAGGGUGCAAGCGUUAAUCGGAAUUACUGGGCGUAAAGCGCACGCAGGCGGUUUGUUAGUCAGAUGUGAAAUCCCCGGGCUCAACCUGGGAACUGCAUCUGAUACUGGCAAGCUUGAGUCUCGUAGAGGGGGGUAGAAUUCCAGGUGUAGCGGUGAAAUGCGUAGAGAUCUGGAGGAAUACCGGUGGCGAAGGCGGCCCCCUGGACGAAGACUGACGCUCAGGUGCGAAAGCGUGGGGAGCAAACAGGAUUAGAUACCCUGGUAGUCCACGCCGUAAACGAUGUCGACUUGGAGGUUGUGCCCUUGAGGCGUGGCUUCCGGAGCUAACGCGUUAAGUCGACCGCCUGGGGAGUACGGCCGCAAGGUUAAAACUCAAAUGAAUUGACGGGGGCCCGCACAAGCGGUGGAGCAUGUGGUUUAAUUCGAUGCAACGCGAAGAACCUUACCUGGUCUUGACAUCCACGGAAGUUUUCAGAGAUGAGAAUGUGCCUUCGGGAACCGUGAGACAGGUGCUGCAUGGCUGUCGUCAGCUCGUGUUAUGAAAUGUUGGGUUAAGUCCCGCAACGAGCGCAACCCUUAUCCUUUGUUGCCAGCGGUCCGGCCGGGAACUCAAAGGAGACUGCCAGUGAUAAACUGGAGGAAGGUGGGGGUGACGUCAAGUCAUCAUGGCCCUUACGACCAGGGCUACACACGUGCUACAAUGGCGCAUACAAAGAGAAGCGACCUCGCGAGAGCAAGCGGACCUCAUAAAGUGCGUCGUAGUCCGGAUUGGAGUCUGCAACUCGACUCCAUGAAGUCGGAAUCGCUAGUAAUCGUGGAUCAGAAUGCCACGGUGAAUACGUUCCCGGGCCU
rnacentral:rRNA from 1 species